rnacentral:tRNA from 1 species
GCUCUAGUAGCUCACUAGGCAGAGCACUUGCAUGGUAAGCAAGAGGCAGGUGGUUCGAAUCCACUCUGGAGCACCA